rnacentral:tRNA from 1 species
GCGGAUGUGGCGCAGUGGUAGCGCAUUACCUUGCCAAGGUGAGGGUCGCGGGUUCGAAUCCCGUCAUCCGCU